UGAGGCUAAUGGAGUUAGAU
rnacentral:snRNA from 1 species